rnacentral:rRNA from 1 species
ACCGGCGCCACGAGUGGUCAUCACGAUUAUUGGGCCUAAAGCGUUCGUAGCCGGCUCGGUAAAUCCUUUGUGAAAUUGUUCGGCUUAACCGAACAGCGUGCAGGGGACACUGCCAAGCUCGAGACCGGGAGGGGUCAGAAGUAUUCCAUGGGGACCGGUAAAAUGGGAUAAUCCAUGGAGGACUACCGAUGGCGAAGGCAUCUGACCAGAACGGAUCUGACGGUGAGGAACGAAAGCCAGGGGAGCGAACCGGA